UCUAAUAGAGACCUUACUUAACCUAAGCAGUACAAUGGCUCAUAUCAUUAAAACUUUAAAAUUGUGGCGGCAGCUUAAGCACUCAGGGGAACUUACCAUGUAAUUGAUAACCAACAAGGGACCCUCACCUGCUCUCAUAAUUAGUAUACCGCCGUCUUUAAACUCUCCUUAAGAGAGUUUAAUAUAUAUUCCUAUAAUAUGACAGGUCAUGGUGCUGUAAAUGUUCAGGAAUUUGAGGUGAGUUACAAUAUCUAAUGCCUGUACGGACUAUACUAUUAAUUUAUAUACGAAGAAGGACUUGAUUGUAAAGACUAUUCUACGUUUAGUUGAGCUUAACUAACUAUGAUAAAUAAGAUUUGAAAAGGAAUUAGGCUGUGU
rnacentral:rRNA from 1 species